GAUGAACGCUGGCGGCGUGCCUAAUACAUGCAAGUCGAGCGAACGGACGAGAAGCUUGCUUCUCUGAUGUUAGCGGCGGACGGGUGAGUAACACGUGGAUAACCUACCUAUAAGACUGGGAUAACUUCGGGAAACCGUAGCUAAUACCGGAUAAUAUUUUGAACCGCAUGGUUCAAAAGUGAAAGACGGUCUUGCUGUCACUUAUAGAUGGAUCCGCGCUGCAUUAGCUAGUUGGUAAGGUAACGGCUUACCAAGGCAACGAUGCAUAGCCGACCUGAGAGGGUGAUCGGACACACUGGAACUGAGACACGGUCCAGACUCCUACGGGAGGCAGCAGUAGGGAAUCUUCCGCAAUGGGCGAAAGCCUGACGGAGCAACGCCGCGUGAGUGAUGAAGGUCUUCGGAUCGUAAAACUCUGUUAUUAGGGAAGAACAUAUGUGUAAGUAACUGUGCAAAUCUUGACGGUACCUAAUCAGAAAGCCACGGCUAACUACGUG
rnacentral:rRNA from 1 species